GAUGAACGCUGACAGAAUGCUUAACACAUGCAAGUCUACUUGAACUUCGGUUUGGGUGGCGGACGGGUGAGUAACGCGUAAAGAACUUGCCUCACAGUUAGGGACAACAUUUGGAAACGAAUGCUAAUACCUGAUAUUAUGAUUUUAGGGCAUCCUAAGAUUAUGAAAGCUAUAUGCGCCGUGAGAGAGCUUUGCGUCCCAUUAGCUAGUUGGAGAGGUAACGGCUCACCAAGGCGAUGAUGGGUAGCCGGCCUGAGAGGGUGAACGGCCACAAGGGGACUGAGACACGGCCCUUACUCCUACGGGAGGCAGCAGUGGGGAAUAUUGGACAAUGGACCAAAAGUCUGAUCCAGCAAUUCUGUGUGCACGAUGACGUUUUUCGGAAUGUAAAGUGCUUUCAGUUGGGAAGAAAAAAAUGACUGGACCAACAUAAGAAGUGACGGCUAAAUACGUGCCAGCAGCCGCGGUAAUACGUAUGUCACAAGCGUUAUCCGGAUUUAUUGGGCGUAAAGCGCUCUAGGGUGUUUAUGUUAGUCUGAUGUGAAAAUGCAGUGCUCAACUCUGUUGUGCGUUUGGAUACUUGAUGGACUAGAUUCUGGGAGAGGUUAUCCUAACUGGAAGUGUUGAGGUGAAAAUCCUUGGAUUUUGUGAGGAGUGCUUGUGGAAAUCCUGCUUACUUGGUGGAUACUUGCGGUGGUGCCCUUGAGCCUCGUGUUGCUGCAAUAUGAAUGCGUGUGUAGUGUGUGGGUGUUUCUUGGUUUGUGUGUUGCUGUGCGGUCGGUUGCUCCUGCGGGGAAAAAAAAAGAAAAUGUAAUGGUGUUGGUGGGGUUGUUAGGGUUGUGGUGUGAUGUUGUUGUCUGUGCUUGUGGGCUGUGUGUGUGCCUGUGUGUGUCGUGUUUGUGUUGGUGCUUCGGUCUGGUGUGUGUGCUUGUGGUUCUGUGUGUGCUUGUGUUGCCUGUGUAGCGUGUGUGAUGGCUGUGUUGUGUGCGUGUGUUGCUGCUGG
rnacentral:rRNA from 1 species